ACUCCUACGGGAGGCAGCAGUGGGGAAUAUUGCACAAUGGGCGAAAGCCUGAUGCAGCAACGCCGCGUGAGGGAUGACGGCCUUCGGGUUGUAAACCUCUUUUAGCAGGGAAGAAGCGAAAGUGACGGUACCUGCAGAAAAAGCGCCGGCUAACUACGUGCCAGCAGCCGCGGUAAUACGUAGGGCGCAAGCGUUAUCCGGAAUUAUUGGGCGUAAAGAGCUCGUAGGCGGUUUGUCGCGUCUGCUGUGAAAUCCCGAGGCUCAACCUCGGGCCUGCAGUGGGUACGGGCAGACUAGAGUGCGGUAGGGGAGAUUGGAAUUCCUGGUGUAGCGGUGGAAUGCGCAGAUAUCAGGAGGAACACCGAUGGCGAAGGCAGAUCUCUGGGCCGUAACUGACGCUGAGGAGCGAAAGGGUGGGGAGCAAACAGGCUUAGAUACCCUGGUAGUCCACCCCGUAAACGUUGGGAACUAGUUGUGGGGACCAUUCCACGGUUUCCGUGACGCAGCUAACGCAUUAAGUUCCCCGCCUGGGGAGUACGGCCGCAAGGCUAAAACUCAAAGGAAUUGACGG
rnacentral:rRNA from 1 species